ensembl:lncRNA
CUAAAAAUAAUAAAGAAAAAUAUUCAUUGUUGAAAAACCUCACUGAGUCUAACAUCUAAAUAGCCAAACGAGCAAGAAUUAGAGGGGUUGGUCUGGUGGGGAUAUCGACUUGACAUGAAGGCUUUGAAGAAAGUGCAAGGUUGAUGGUUUUACUGCAUUCAUUUGACUUGACUGGGAUUGAGGCUUCUGCUCCACUGGGCUGAUGACUCCCACUCAAAGCAUGAUGAAAAGAGUGCUUUUGUUGAUUUGCAAGCUACGCCACAGCAUCACACCCGCUCAAAAGGAAUCACUUACAGGGUGUGUUUAUCCCCUGGGGUUUUGUCAUCAACCGCCAUAUUUAUCCACGGUUGAAACUACCCCCCCUAUUUAUUGAAGCGUAAGUCCCGCCAUUAAACUCGAUAAUCCAAGAGGUGAUUUACAUCAAUUGUUGGUGCUGUUCACAUUUUGGUCAUUGUCUGAAUGCAGACAAAAAGAAAGAUAAUAUCAGAUUAGAAUCCCCGGUGUCGAUCUGUCAGCAGAUAGGAGGAAAAAAGCACAAGGACAAGGAGGGGAGGGAAUAGCAGAGUGCUAAAAAUAAUCAAAAUCUCAGACGACUCAAUAGCACACUCAAAAGUUAUCUCCUGUUUUGGAUCCCCACAGUGCAUGCACACUGGUACAAGGCUCAUAUUAGCCUGGAGUGACUGUGAGUAAAGGACGCAUAUAGAUAGGCAGGACGGAUUUCAUUCAGCAAGGGCAGACAGUAAAACGCAUCAUACGAGUUGAGGUGGUCGCAAAUGGUUUGCUGCAACCUCAUAAAAAGAAAAAGGGAUGUGGUGUUGGUAUUUUAGCUGAUAUGCUGAGGCAAGGUGAAGGAAGUGGUUCGGUGCUAUUGCUCUUUGCCAUGGCGCUUGGCUUGUGGAUUACCAUAUGUAGAAACAAGGUUGUGUGAUUAAAAUCAGUUCUUUCUCAAAACACAAUAAAAUAUCGAUCAUAACCUCAAAUAAUGUCUUUACAGUAGGAUCAAGUUCAGAACUACUCGCCUUUGUGGGGGAACGGGAUUGUAUUAUAGAUGAAUCCAUAUGCAUUGCAUCCGCCCGUGGAACAAGUAACCAUGGCUGCGAAUUUAGUCCUUUUAACAAGUUAAUCAUAUCUUUUUGUGAGACGAAAUAAAAGAUUAAUGGAAAGCUACUUAUUGAUUGUUUCCUUUGCUGCUAUGAGAUCGAACCGGCCCUGUGGCAACAUUAAACACGGCUGAUAAACCCACACUUGGCAUUGGGAAUUUCCAAGGAGCAAAGCAGCCAUUUGAUGCAAGUUCAAUAAAAGAAAGACUAGUGUGGCGGGAGAAAAGAGGAGCGACGCCUUUCACGUAUGCUGAACUAUUUUAAUGGGGAAGAAUUCACCUUUGCGAGCACUUUCUUUUUGUUUGAGCCCUUUUGAGUUCAUCCAUUGUUCUUGUUGCGCUGUCUUGUUUACGUUCUCCAUCUUUGCCUCCUUAUUUCCCUGGAUAAAAAAGGGAGGAGAGGAAAACAGCGUGACAUCGUAAUUAAAAAUCGUCAGAGUUUUCCAUUUGGCUUAUUCAAAUAUCAGUGGCAAAGCUCUGGGAUUUUUCCGACGUGGCCUUGCUUCUCCGACCACCAACAGUGAAAGAGUGUUUGUUAUUUGAAAAAAAAACUCCUACUCUGAGGAUUUGCUGAAACACUUCCCCAAAUUGCCACAUUCUGCUUCCGAUAGAAAUAAGCCUUUGUUUUAGCACAAUAGUUUUCUCCACAUGAAACCUUUUGAAGUGAAAUAGGGAUUAAAAUGCAAACAGAAGAUCAAGAAUUCAUUUUUUGUUGAUCCACUCCACAUAAGAGCCUCAAACACUUCAACAUACAUGCUGGUGUUGCAUUAAUGAUUUCUAACAAGCAGCUUUGGAAACUGUUGACCUGAUACAUCAAAAAAAUACGCUGCGGGUCACUAACCCCUCUCCACCCCGAUGAUGUUCGAACAGAACCUUAAUACAGUAAAUAUCUUCAAACUGCCCUUUUAAAGAGCCUGAUUCACAUUGAGGAAGCUGGUUUUCCACACGCACUCGCGUAUCACUAGAAAAUACAACAGACAGUGUUCAAGUGGUUUGGAAAGCUUUCAGCAACCGUACCUCCCAUUUACCAAAUUCGAUACCAGUCAUAUCAGCUGAGAAAACGUCAGCAGCGAUGCGGCGGGAUUCGGUAGACGAGGACCUUUUUAAUCACAGAAUAGCUUUCCAGCAUUAUCUGAUGGAGUCUUUUUUUAACCACACAAAGCAAGCACCUCUCCUUUAAGGGGCUCUGAAAGAACGUUCAGGAGGGAACGGAAAAGGCUCCCGGUGCAAACGCGGCUCUCGAUAACAGAAAAGCCUCUCCAGAAAAUUGCACCGUUGCAAAGUGCGUAAUUACAAUAAUUGGCUGCGAGCGGCGAGGGCAAAUGUCCUGUAAUAUACGUACUGUUUGGAUUUACAUUGCUUUAUCGGCUCGGGCCCGACGUGUGUCGGGGGAGAGGCUGAAGCGGGGACUUGAAAAUGCCACACAGAGCAGUGAAAAGGUCAACCACUCCAAUGUUUUCCAAUGCACCAUUCGUCAUAAACAGCACAGGUAGAGGAAGACUUUGCUGGGUGCUGGUGAUGCAUUUGUUCCUGUUAUGUAGACGAGAAAAUAAACUAUGAAAAGGAAUCGAAUGGAAUGAAGAUCAAAUGCAUUCAAAAGGUCACAGACGGUAUUUUUGAACUAAAUCUUAUUUCCUUAUUAAAAAAAAGUUUCUAUACCACAUUUUAUCUGUAUUUCACAAGCAAAUGGAACAACAAUUUUGAGAGCACUUGCUCUUUUGUUACAAGUACUUUCUGCAUGUCAGCCACUGUUUGGAGAUCGGCUCUCUGAGAUACGAUGCCGCGAGUCGGAGGGCCCUUGAUGGAGUACAACUCCUGUGUUCACUCCUGGUAGACUCCAUUACUUCUCCAUAUAUAGACGGCAGUGGCGAAGACGAUCCUCUGCAAAUUGGAUCAGCGAGAUUACAAACCAAACGUACUACAUCAUUUAAACCUCGUCUCUGCCGCCUGCAAAGACCACAAUGCAUUACUCCCCUCCGCGAUGUGCCUCUAUCAGUCCCCUGCUCCCGCACGCCCACAGGAUCAGAUAAGGGGAGAGCUCGCUGACCAAAUGGGGGUCCUGACCCGGCGGGGUCAACGGAAUUUGAGGCACAGCCAACGGCGUCCAAGUGAUGCUUUGAAUGGGUCCAGAUUCAUCACUCGGGAGAGCGGGCAGGGAGCUGGCCUCGAUGGAAGCUGUCUGUAAUGAUAGACGGCUGACCGUGAGGCCCAGACCGCUCGGUGAGUGCUCUUCCCCCGGCCUCCACGUUGCAGAAGGACACAUAAUCUAUUGCUGUAAUUGGACACCAGCAAAGGGAAAAUCAACGUUGGAUUUGUGGAUUGGAUAAACCAUAACGGCGGGAGAUUUAUCACAACCAGUUCCCUGCAACUAUGUAGAAUUGGUUACUUGCGGUCCUUGUGCGCUCGACACGCGCUUUAAAUCUAUCACAUUGAGAUUUUUUUUUGUGUUUAGUACAUCUCAGCCCAUUUAUCAUACACUCUUUUGCUGUUUUAAUGGCAUGGACGUCUUUCUAAGGGAUUGUGUUUGCAUGCUGAAAACACGCUGGAGACACUUGGAUCUUGCAUGGAUUGCCAAAAAGAGGGAAUCCUGCCAAGUGCGGUCCGUCGCAGUCAAAAUCCAAAACUAUUAUGCGAUGCAUUGUGUGGUCAAGGCCACCUGUAAAUACAACGGAGAGGAAGGUUCCUGUUAGUGGGGUGGGCGGUCAAACAUUGGGCUUCAAUAACUUUUACAAAAAAACACCAGAACAUCCCUUUGGCGCCCUUUCAAACUACUCAGAAUCCCGUCUCCAACGCACUAACAACAGUUGUGUACAGCCCCCAACAAUUGCCUCUCUCCCAUUAAUUUGCAUGUUGGCCAGGUCUGAACAAGGGGGGAAUUGGAUAUGACCUCUAUUAUUAAUUUAUUUGCUCAAACGCCUGUCCAGAUUCAAUUCACUUGUGCAAGCAUUUUACCUAAGUGUUAAAAUUACCCCCUCCCACCUCGCCCUGUUAAACUCCUGACUUGUGUUGUUUUUAAUUUAAAAAAAGGGACUAACCUUGGUGUGUUAUGGCAGCAUAAAAGAAAAUAGCAAUUUAGUUUUGCUACCCUCGGCCCAUUCUCUGGAGAAACAAUUAUCAUUCUUUACUGUGACUUUUAAGAGCUGCUCGAGGGCCAAGCUGAAACAACAGCAAGGACGUCUCCUCCGUUUGUGAAAUUGUGUGAAUAUUAUAUUUGCUCCCCGCUGAGAGGUUGGGACUAUGUGACUGAUUUGCCUCCUCUGCUCGGGCUCGCGACGCCAGUCUUUUGUUCCCCGAAUCUCCAAACAUGUUCUUUGCAGCUGUUUGAGUUAAUGCUGUCAUUAGACUACAGGAUCCUGUAGCCAAAUUAUAAUGUGAUAUCCCGCAUCAUCUAUUCUUCUCUUCCCUCUGAGCUGAUGAAUAGCUUAAGGUCAGACUAUCAAAUUAGUGGAUCCCAUUACGCCACAGACACUAAUGGCAUCUUUAUGAAAGAAAAUAUAUGUAAUCUCUCCAAAAGCCUUUUGCAGAGCAAACUGUUUUUCUGUAGAUGAAAUGUGAGUGCAGUGCCUGGUGAAUUGUGAAGUGAAUGUGGGAAGUGGGGGCAUAGCGUGGCUCUUCUAUGUGCCAAACCCAGUUUCACCCAGGAGGGUGAGUGGCAUACAGACCACUUAAAGCAACGCUGUGCUAAGCUAGCUGCUAGGCUACUUCCAUCUCAACGUUACCCUGGGAGAUUGUUGGCACUUCAGACACAGCCGUUAAAUUAUGGAGAGUUGAGAGCAAAGGGCACAAGGACAGCAAGUGGAGUUGCUAUUUCAACAUGAUCCACCUGGUGGAAUUCCGCCUCCAAGAUGAUCAAAUGUGUGUAGAUUUUUUACACAUUAACAAUUAAAGAACAGUAUCUAAAAUUCACAGUUUCUAAAGUGAUUACUCAUUAGAAGAAAAACAUUCAUUAAAAGAUUGUAACAACAACAACAACAUUCAUUAAACUGCCAUUAAUCGAGAUUACUGAAUUUCAAAAUGUGCAAUUGGUUAAUUUUGUUAAUUGCCUCUAUAGCCUUAGUUUAAAUGCUGUAAUUAUACCACAACGGAGCUUUUUUCGCAGUACAUCACAUCUUUCUUUCUUCUCAGAAUCUGACAUCCUGCACUGCCCGGAUUUCAUUUGAAUUCCCUCCCACUCGAGAGGCCAACACGGGGUCACUUGAUCUGGGACCAGGACGGAAAUCAAACAGCCUGGCUUCAGGGGGAGACCUCCCCCCCACUCCUCCCCUGGACUGCCGCAUUGGAAGUCCAUCACCGGGUCACAGCCUCAAUCCGUCACUGUCGGCUGCAGCUAUCAAGAGCAGGUCCAAGGAGGGGACGGGAGUGACUCAGGACUGCGGCGCUCCAGUUCAGUCUUCGGGGUCGGACGCUUGAUGAAUCUGUUGUUGUAUUUUUUAUUUUUUUUCUCCUCGUCCAGUGCCCUCAUUAAAUCUACACCAGCCGCACGGCAGAUGAUGCGGUUUGAAGAUGAGUUGCUUUGAAACAAACAGCAUGUGAACUGCAAAUCAAUUUUCAAGCACAAGUUUGUUAUAUUUUCAUUACAUGAAUUUUGAUGCGAUUUGAAAUGCAAAUAUAUGGCCUGUUCUUCCUGGUACACAACAAGACUAAAUCUUUGCCAAGACCGGCAAUCAAACAGCUUAGUGCACUAAAAAAGAUCCCCCCCGGCCUCCCUCCCUCCCUCCUCCACUAUCUGCAGUGAAGGUCCAGGUUAUAACCUCAAUCCCUCACUCUGAGGUUGGAGACGGACUGUGUUCACUUUCCAUUUAGCCACCUCUUAUGUGCUCUGAAUUCAGACUGAGAUUGCAUACCAGGAACCUUGAAGUCUUUGAGUUAAUCCAGAGUGAAUAUAGACCUUUGAAUAUAUUUUUUCUCACCUGGCAUCCGCUUGAAACUACAUUCCGAUUUUCUGGCAGGAGUCUGUAACUUUGUACAUGCCGUAAAUCAAUGGUCUGUUUUAACCACCCACCACUCCUCUAAUUUAAGGGUUGUGCCAUCACAGAGGAGCACAGCAUUUCAAAUUCUGGCUAUGUUCACAUGUUAUUUUUGCUCUUUAAUAACAACUUUCCGCCCAGGGGUGGGAUUAUCUGUGACGAGGGGUGAACCCAGUUACACGGCAGAGAGUCUCCUUUUGGAUUUCACAGCAGACCUUUCUCUAAGGGACGAAGCUUCAAUUUUAACCUGACAGAGGGAUUCAUAUCUUUAUUUUUACCGUGAUUCUUCAGUCUGCCAAUUCCACCUGUAAUCAAAUCUCUUGAAAUGGGCAUUAGAACACUUGACAAGCUCAGUUUAACACACACUGUGACUACAUGUCCUCCUCCACAAAAGUUUUUGCGCUGCCAUAAUCCCAAAACCGACCUUUUAAUCUAAAAAUAACGGGGGCCACAACAGGAUCAAACACAAAAUGCAAAAUGAUCCUGCAGGCUUUGAACUAGUGACCGUUAUUAAAUGAUAACAGCCAGCUAUAAAUACUCAGGACAUUGAAUCUGUGGAAGGCAAUAACUUUGUGAAGGCUGUUGGAAGUCUAAAUUUAAUCCAACCUGCCCCCUACGCUCCUCUUGUUUUCUCACCCUGAGUAGAUGCUGUUUAAGUGUGAUGAUCUUUGCCAACGGGAAGGAGAAAAAAAAAAAAAAUCACACCAAACCGGCCGCAAUUGACUGCUUUGACAUGAGCAGACAUAUUAGAACAAGGAGAGAAACGCGAGGUUGUGAGUCACACUGAAAAGCACCUCGACACAACUACAGACGAUUGUACAAUUAAAAGUCUCAAAAGUUUCCGAGCUUUUUAAUUAACAUUAUUACUGGCUUGAGUUGGGACUGUAGCCUCGACUGGAGCUGGACGGUUUGCUAUCAGAGAGCGAUUUAAAGGACCCAUCAUAUGCCCAUUUUACCACAAGUUGAUAUGGUCCCUUGAGGUCUUAAUGAAAUGUCUGUAACAUACUUUCGGCAAAAUACCACAAGGAUCCUUAAAAACAGCACCCUGACUAAAACUAAAGCCCUCCACAGAGUGACCCGUUUUGAGUGGCUGUUCCUUUAAAUGCUGAUGAGCCGGCUCUCCGCUCUUCAGGGGCCAUGUGAGAGAGACUCCCAUUUCAUUGUGAUGACAGAAUGAUAUGGAAGUUCAUUCGCAGUCACUCAAGCAUGACAUUUCUGACUUACAAGAACCAUAACAAAUCACGGGAGUUGUUGUUUUUUCCCCCCAGAGUUUUGGGGUCGGUAGACAUGCCAAGAUAACCAAAUUAACAUGUAGAAGCACUAAAGAAGUGGAAUUUUUAUAAUAUGCCCUUUAACGUUGGAGUUCAAAAUCCCAAAGUGGUGCCUUUGUGAUUUACUUAGGGGGAUGGCAAAUGAGGAGGCCGGUCUGUCAUGAGGUGGCAGACUCAUAACUCACCAUUCCCCGGUGCUCCCCAGGAGAAAAAAGUGCCAGUUUUGUCAAGCGCUACAGAGACCCCGUGCAGACGGACUCUAGUUUGCCCCGUCUCCGGAUAGCCCUAUCGUGCAGACGAACGCACUGUAUCCGCACACUGUAUCCGCACUCCCUCGAAUCGGGGGUCCAAAGUGAGUAAACUCAAAAUCCGAUUGCUGUUGGUGUUCGUCUGCACGCUAUCCGCAUAAUCGGACUGCCCCACGUGAUUGCAUCACGUGAUUGCAUGCAACCUCACGCUGAACCCUUAUUAACCCCAAUGCGUCACUUCAUAACAACGACAACAAUGGCGAACGCAAGGAUAAUGUGCCUGCUGAAUGUGCUAACAAGUCUACAAUGCGUACUACGGGAAUAUCGUCAGAUCUUUUCGUUUGUAUACGGCGCGCAUGUCUUAUACGCAUGCUCCUGUCUUCUCCUUCCGUUUUCUUCAGUUGUCUGUAGCACCUUAAAGCGCCACCAACAGGCGUGGGGGAUGUACUACAGCGGAGUCAAUCGGAUUCACUGGGUUCAUGUGCACGCAAAGUGGGUAGGUGUGAAAAAUGAACCCGGGUUCAGGCAAACUAGAGUCCGUCUGCAUGGGGUCAGAGUUGGAGAAACCCCUUUGCAACGGGCAUCUUGGAUCCAUCGGGACAGGUCACAUUCUAUUCAUACAUUUCCAAAGCUUCUUAAAGCUUGAGAUGUUGUUCAAGAGGAUUCACUUUCACUCCACUACCCCCCCCCACCGCGCCAAGAGCUUCUGGAUCCUUUACAUCUGAGACUUAAAGGUUGGGGAAACAAAGGGUCUUCUAGUGUGUCAUUGUUCAUUAUCUGACUUUCCAGGGAGAGUCAUUUACUGCAUACUGAUGUAGGGCCCAAAGUCCAAAGGCAACAGAUGUAUCAUAUCCCAUCAAAAACCAGUAAUAAUUGGCCUCAAAAACACAGUAUAAAACAGGCGAUCCUUGGUCCGAAACACCAGAGGUGAAGUUAGUUGCAGUUCCAACGUGAUUGAUACUUUCGAUAUUCUUAAAGGAUUUGCAGUCUUAAAGCUUUUGUAGCAGCAAAGUCUUGAUGCUCAUUACAGACAGCAGCAGAGCCAGAAAGAUAUCUGCCACUGGUACUUUUGGGGGCUUUUGUGCUUAUAGUAUUUAUUUUUGUGGUUUUUACAGCAGUGUGAAGGCAGGCUUGUAAUGUUGCUCCAAUUAUAUGGUCCGCCCAAAGGGAAGAGCAACGAGGCUUGCUUGAGCAUCUGCUGCUUUUUGAUGCAGUUGCUGACCUCACACUGUCUCCCCCUCUGGUGGAUUAUUUAUCAUUAAAAUAUACAGCAAAACAAAAUUCCAAGAUUAGCGCUUUCAACUAUGCAACAAUGACAUACGCACCAGUAUAACAGUUUACGUAACUGUAACGUGCCAUUUGCAGUCGGAGCUCUUCAACGAUCCCCGCUGGAAUGGGAAACCAACGCCGCGCAUGCUGUCGGAGACCCAGAGAACCAGGGAAGAGGGACAAAGGAGAACCAGAAGCAGUACUGCACUGAUUAAACUAUUAGACCCUUGUUGAAGAAAAUGCAAGGUUUUUUAGUCAUGUAGUUUGAAUUGAAAUGUUAUUUUAAAAAGAGAGAGGACCAGACACAAACUCAGAAUCAUCUAUGGAAUCAAGCAGAAGAUAUUGAGAGGAUGAGUAUUUAUAAAAUGGGUCACAGCCACUAUCCACAGUGUCAGUAUGAAGUGAGUCAUGAUGGGACCGGAUGAAGCCACAAAAGAACACACAUUAGGACAGGAAGGAAAAAUGAUCUCAUCUGUGGUUUACCAAUACUUAAAGCGCUUCUAAACAGUGAACGGUAAACAAGUGUGAAACACUCAUAACUCAAAAUAGCUUUCAACGGAUCAUCAGUUUAAAAUGAAAAUAACAUGAUCCCCUUACAUCUCAUGAUAGAUUGAAGGUUUGAGACUUAAUUUCCGUAAACGUUGUGCUGUCCAACUUUUCGAAUUGAAAAUGCAUGAAAAGAGAAGUUCCAAGUCCCUGUCUUUGUCAUUGGAUUGUGGAUUGAUAUAAUAAUCCCUGAACUUGGAGCAGGUUUUCAGAUCCCCUGUCUGACUCACUGUGAAGUCAAGACAGGUAUUGCCUCAGAAAUUCAGUAAAAAGAGACACUUGAUCCUUCGGUGUCAGCGGAAAUGUUGUAGUGCUUAAGGCAUCCCAAAUUCUUUGAUUUGACAGCUGAAUGUGUUCCCUUUCAAUCCUGUGUCUCUGAUAUUCCUAUUUGUAUUAGUGACAUUUUACCCUGGUAUCAAACUCUUUCCAAGUGUCAUUCAUACGGAAGUUUGUUAUGGGUUUUCAUUGUUCUAUCUUUUGACCUUUUAAGAUUUACAUAUUGCGUCAUUUAAAAUUAAAAAUGACAAGGACCGUGGUUCUGUAGCAGAAUUCCCAAGCACUAUGCAGGCCCAACCUUAUUUCCACUCAGUAUACAUUAUGCAAUCAAAUAGACCGGAAUAUGUUAAUGAAGCCGACUGCAUUCCAGCGUGGGUCUCCUGCCUGGGCAAACAAACAUCUGCUAGUCGGCUGAAAAGGGAAAGAGACGGUCAACAAGAAAGAUAUUCAGGCUUGGCAGGUCUCGGCCCAGAGGAUUUUUUUUUCAGCGCGGUCCUCUGGCUGAAUCACAAAAUAAAUCCGUCUUGUAUCCAGAUGGGAGAGAAGGCCAUUACAGUGGCUGCAUGGUACACAGUGCUCCUCCUGACCUAAACAACCCCAUUUGCUUAACAGAAAAAUGAGCACAAGAACAUACAGAGCUACCCAAUUUUGUACUGUAGACCUUAAAAAAGAAUUCUUUUUUUCAUGUAAUCUCUAGCCGUAAUAAUAAUAAUACCAAGGUAUUGAGAUUUGUAUAGUAAACUGGAACAAGAUGUGCAGAGCAAUGGUCUAGCAGCGGCUUUUAGCAUUUAGCCAGUGGCGGCUGGUGGACUUUUAUUUGGUAGGGCCAGACAAUCAGUUUCAGUAAACAUCGCAGGAUGAUUCAAUGCAAAAAAAUGGGUAUCAAAGACGCAUUAUUACUUUGCAGUUAAAUAUUUAAGAUUUAUUCCAACAGUUUAUUGGCCUCGACGGACCAGCCGCCACUGCAUUUAGCCAAUGCUAUGCUAACAUGCAGAUGGCUGUGUUCACCUUGUUAUAUUAGAUGUGGAUGUAGACACAGUGACGACAUACAUUGCUUCUUGCAUGUUUUGAUUCCUCAAGCUCUGCAUUUUGUUCAUGUCCAUAAACCGAGAUGCGGAUGAUGAUCUUUUUUUUUUUUUUCUUGCAUACCGAAGCGACACAAGGGAGCUAAGCUUAGAACAACCAAACGUGGAAUAUGGCAGUUUUAGUUGUUGACAUGACAACAGCAUGGUAGCAACCCACCAAUCAUAAUCGAGUCAUCUGGUUAGAAUCAUUUGCCAUUUAGAGCUGGUGGGAAUAUCAAUAUGCUUGGCAGAUUUGUUCAGAAUCAAGACCUCAUAAACGUUUCAUUUCACAGCAAUCCAUCCUAUAUUUGUUUGAGAUACGUCAGUGAAAGAGAUUUUUAUGCAUACUUAUGAAAUAUACAGCACACCCUGGUAGUCUGGAUAAAUUGUAUUGUGAAACAACAUUUCCCCAAAUGUUAUUUGGUGGAGAGGUUCGUGCAGUUCGUGCAGGGGCAUUGUCAUAGUUUUAAUGCUGAACAACCUCAAGUAAUUGGACAAACAGAUUAUUGCCUCACUAUUUGCAUUGAGUUGCAUUAAAAAGAAAGAAAAAAUCCACCUUUCUAUCAAAUUAAAAUAAGAGAGAGAUCUCACAUCAAGUGUCAUUGUCUCUUCUUUCCAGUUGUACUUUGCAUGUGUAGGACUGUAUUACUUAGAUAUGACAUUUAUCAGUGAGUUUAUCUCAAGCAUGGAACAUGAAUGCUCAUUGAUUGCUUCUGCGGUAUUGAUGCAAAAUGAGAUUUCUCACUGUGUCUUACUUACUGUGUUUUUCUCAUCUCACCAAAGAGUGGGUGACCUUGGCUGGCUUAUGGACAACAAGAGUCCCCUUUCAAAUAUUGCCAAAAUACAUUGCCUCGUACAAUAGAUGGCUCGAAACAGCAGAGGCCUGCAGAUUGAGUAAAGAGGCUGGCCGUGGUUUUUCAUUUUCUCAGUGUUUCUUUUGAGGUCUGGACAUGAAAGCACUGCCCCGUGAUUCAUUUGAACAUUCUGCUGGCCUCAGUUGUAGAAGGAGCUUGAGAAAACGGGGUCUGAUUCAAAGUUAAAGAUCAGCUGUGUUUUAUUGAUUUCAUUCUACUGACGGUGUUUCAAUAUGAGAAUUAAAUUGAACUGGACCUUCAGCGGCAACUCUGCCUCCCGAUGUUUUCAAAUAAGAAUCAGGACGGAAUCAGAACCAGAUGUAAAAACAGAGGCACACCCCUUUUUUAUAUUCCAGAUAUCGCUGAUCUGCAAAUACUGUUUCUACACUAUUAUGCUGUAGUUAACAAAUGGACUCGCCAAACCAGAAAAGGGAAUGAGGGAAAGCAUUUGCCGCAUCUCUGCACAAAGGGAUUUCCUCUAAUGACUUCACUAUUUUCCCUUUUCUCAUUUUGAAUUUACACCAAUAUUCCCAAUGAAGAAAAAAAAGGAUUAACUCCAGCAGAAAUAAUUGAAGAAAUGGAAUUUGAGAUUGAUGUUGCUCGGCAACCCCAUCAUCAUUUGAGUUUCUAAAAGGCAGGUUUAAUUUCAGUCAAUCGAGUUUGCAAAAUCAAAUGCUGAAGUCAAAUUUGUAUGAGUCGGUUGUAAUGCAUGCUUGAUGUAACUGUUUAAAAUAGUGAAUGAAAGAUUUAUACCAUCAACUGCUGCUCACGGGCCAAUUGCUCCGAAUGUUGCCAGAUGGCUUUUGUAUCUGUUUGCAUCACACAGUUAUUGAAUCAUAACUGUAUUCGUCAUUAACCUGAGCCUCAUUCCUCCCGCUUUCUGCUGACAGAUUAUCAGACUUGCAUAAUUGAGCCACACUAAAAAUCAGCAGGGGAACAGUGAUUCCAAAAUGCACAAUUGAAAACACUUUGCUGCAACUUCAUUGUCCAUUAUGUUUGAAGAGUGCUUAUCUUGGGCAUUUUUUCCAUUCUUGAUGAAAACUUACGCUAUUCAUAGUGUCUGCAAGAAGAGGUGUAUGAAAGAAUAAAGGACCCUACUUAUCACUCUGAUUUAUUACCCUCUUAAUCAUUGUAAACAUACGUUCAUGUUCUGUGUUUAAUAUGUGCUCGUGAACAUCACCCAAGCAGAAAAUAUGUUUCCUUCGAUCAUAAUGGCAACUUAAUGGAGUCUUUCCUGUGUUUGACUUACUUCCCCGUGUAUCAAGCCUCAGUGCACCGCGUCACCGUCCCUUUGAGUCACUUGCACUUCACAAAAUUCAUUUGAUUUCAUGGCAGGACGGGCCAAUGCAAAAUUCAAAAAGAAAAACAUUUUCAUUUUCAAUCCUGGACGCGCAUGCGUGUCCUCCUCUACGGUUCACCGACACUGAUAUCAGACUUGUUGUUUGCACAGCUUGAGUGAUGUGGCACCAAAGUGACCUACAAAACAGCCGUGGUGAGGCCAUGAAUCACAUUGGCUCUGGAAUUAAUCACUGUGCAGAGGACGUUUUCUGUCCUCUCACAAUCACUCGCUGCAAAAGCUCUCCCUCGCUCUCCUUCCCAUCCAUCCUUCCUUCCUUCUUUCUUUCUUUUCCUGUGUCGCUCCAUCGACCACCAAAGCGACCACCGAUCGGCCUCCAGAGGGAGAAAGCAAAGAGAGCGAUGUCCUUUCCGCCAAUCAUUUCAAAUGCAGGUUCAAGUUCAUAGAGCCACCUGAAAAGCUUUUUCAGCGGAAGACAAUGUAGCCUUUUUUUAUUUCACUCCCUUCUCCCCAUUGCGCCAAAAAUGAUGAUAACUGUCGGUUUUAUUUCAGGACCGAGGGUAGAACGAGGUAGGGUGCGGUGGCAGGAGGACGGUGGGCUUGAUUAAUGAGACGGCGGACACAGUGGGGAUCCAAUCUACAUUACAUCGGCGGCCAACGAGAAGUCGGCGUGAGGCCUCAAGCACUUGGCUCCAAGGGCAGCUGUAAUCUGUUCAAAAGGCACAGCGGCCAUUGUCUUUGCUGUGAAGCUCCAGUCCUGCGAGCCUGGUCCGGCUGCCAAACCAGCAGAUCUCUAAGUGCACACUGUUGUUCAGCCUUGAUGCCUUAGAAGCUCUUCUGUGACAGCUUAGCGAACAAAUAAAUGCAAAAAGGACACGGCCUUCACAUAUGAAUCAAGGUUGUUGUUCAAAAGUUCCAUUGUUUGUUCUUCAACCUGUCAUCAUUCGGUGCGUGGAUUGGAUGUGUGAAACUCCCCACUGGGUCCCCGUCAUGGGGCUAAAAAAACCCCGCUCCAGCAGUUUUAAGGAGGGGUGAGAGAGUGUGGCAUCGGAGUGGAUAAGAUGUGCAAUAGUGAUUUCUUGCAUGGCUAAUGGGAAGGCUUCUUAAUUCCCAGCAGUCACAACACCUCAACAAAUUGAAAGUGGAAAGACAAUUGAUCCACAGGUUAUUUAACAGCUGACUUACUUAAUUAUCGGUGUGCCAUUACACACAACAGCACACAACCCAGGAGUGCUGUUGCCUUUCGACUGCAGCUGUUUUUUUCUUCUCUUUUUCUCCUCAUUAUCCUCAGUCACUUCACUGGUGUCAGUGACACUGAACUCCUACUUGCACGCACUCAAAUUGCUUCAUAACGAGAAGCAGAGAAAUGAUACGGGGAAGGAACGACGCACUAAGCUGGACGUUUUUUGACAUGCUGUCGACACCUUAACAAGGUGGCUCCGGGGUACUAAGAGUUAGCUUCUCCAACUAUUCUCAGCAUUAGGUUGUUUUUUUUAAUGGAGUUUGGUCACCAUCCAUCACCUGCCAAGAAAGCACAGCUCCAAGCGACAAACCUCUUUACUUUUUAAAUCAAGUUAUGUUUUAUCUGCCUCGGUCGCCCAACCUCGGCCAUUUCUGGUUCAGGAAAUUCUUGUUUUGGGACUUUUUUUUUUUUACCUCUCCAGGGGCCAAAUGGAUAACGAUCUCAUACAACAGGAGAGAGGGCGGCAUCGGGGUCUAAAUACCAUGCGUACCAUGUCGGGCCAAAUUUGCCUCUGCAGCACGGGCGGCUGAAAGGCAUCUCUCACCUCUUUCCCCUCUGGGUUGAGGCGCAUUUGAUGGCUGAUCAUUAUAGCUGACAUCCAUCCAAUGUAAGAGUCAGUAAAAAGCCACGGUGUGUGAAUGUCCAAUUUUCGGAAUGAUACACAUUUAUUCCCACUUUGUAUAGUGCAUUGUCAAGGCACUGUACACGUCAGGAGCGCAGUUCCCCAUUCCCCAGAAGCUAAGGAGAGUAUUCUCGAUACAUGGACACUAUCAGAAUACACUCAUUCAAGAGAAGGGUUUUGGUGGCAACUCAAACGCAGGCCAACGAGGUACCAUCACCCGAUCUUCAUGUUUUCUGACCUCCCACACAGUUUGGUAUGAUUCAACCCUCCCACACUCCCACUCCCUACUUGACUGCAAUGAACAACACGCAACGCAGUCAUAAAUAAGUGUCUAUAUGUGUUGCCAAACAAACUGAAGCUUGAUGUCUAUUUUUGAUUGGAUUGCAAACCUCCUUGCCAGAUGGGUCCACAUUUUUUUUUUCAGUAGUGGGUAAGUGGCUGCUGAGAGUUGUUUGUGUUUUUCACUUCUCACUUAAAGCCAGCCGUAAUCCUGGCAAUGCACAAGUGGCUCAAACCCCCGCGACCUGAAACGAAAUGGCAAACAAUACUAAGAAACGUCAGGACCUGUGGGACCAAUGCACUGCAGCACAGGAUCGAGAAUGGGGCCACCUGUAUAUUGCUCAACAACACGCUAUUGUAAAGUGAUAUAGAAGCUAAGACUCUUUGUGGCUCUUUUAUUAGGGCAAACGGGUGAGCUGACUUCACUCCUCCUUAUAAAGCCGGUCAGCAGUCACAUGGAUCACAUGGACCCCCCCAUCAGCAAGCGCAGGUGAAAGAAAUUAAGAGGCCACAAUUUAUCACACUGUUUCUUGAGGUGAAAUUAAAUCGUCUUUAACUGUGUGCAAAGGGAAAUGUUAAAAUGCUGAUAUAUAUAUAUAUAUAUAUAUAUAUAUAUAUAUAUAUAUAUAUAUAUAUAUAUAAUACAUAUAAAUAAGUGCAGUAAAUAAUAUUUCACUGUGUCAAUUUUCUGUUGCAUGAACUUUGUGUUAAGAACAGAUGCGCUCUGUAAAAAAACUGUGUGCCAAAUUUGAUUAUCUGAAAAAAUAAAACCUUUUGCGUUCUAUUGUAUUUAAUUAUUUCUUGCUAGUAUUCUCUUAAUAAAACUCUUGUGUUGGGUUUGUCCAACAUUUCUUAAGGCAUUGCUUUUAGAUUCUAUGGUUUCUUUUGGGGUUUUCUGUACAAUUUUCCAAACAAGAAGACAUCAGGGAUUGAAAUGCAUCAAAUUCUACUCUGGUCGAUCAAUCCGCAACACCACACUCUCCCUGUUGUCAUAGCAAUUAAUCGGAGAACGCUAAUCUAGAUCUAUGAGGGGAAUCCUCAGCAGACACUGGAACCGCCUUCUCAUUGGUGGCUGGAGAGUAGCAAAUGGCCCAAUCAAUACUUUCCAAUUAAGUGACAUUUGCUCCCACGGAAUUGUAUAUGCCACAUUAUAUGGUGUUUUGAAGUGGAAAGGACAUUCAAGUAAAACCCAUGUAUCCAGUGUGGUAAAAAGUGAGCAUUUCUGCGGUCGUUAUCCCCAAUUGUAAUGAGAAAGCGCAAAAGUCACCCUGAGGCAAAAAAAAAAAGCCAUAUUACGAAACUCGCAAGAUCGAUCCGAGCCAAACGGACAAUGAAAGACUGAGUGGAAUAACCUGCAUGAACCGCUGUAGAGCUCGGCGGCGCCGCGAGGACGCGAUCAGCUCCAUGGGGCCGGCCGCCCCAACAUCACCGAGCGAGUAGCUAGCAGCUAGCUACGAGUCAAUUACGUCAUCGGGUUAUGCCCCGUAGUGGUCCCGGGAGGGCAAUUUAGGCGCUGCACUUAACGCCAUGGUGGGCCCGGGCGUCUGGCGAAUGAUUGCAGCAUUAGCUCCCCCCGCCACCUCGAGCGCGUGUCUCAUAAAACACGCGGACAAAUGCAAUCCAAUGAAUCAGACACCGGUCUUUGCCGGUGAAAUGAACUGGCCGCGGUGUCUAUUAAUGUCAGCCCGUGACAUACAUGUCUAAGACUCUCCUGUACGCUUUGCACUAUUAGGGCCUCUGCAACAUUAUGCGGGUUGUGCGUUAUUUAUGGAGGGUUUUUCGCUCAGUCCCAUUUUUUACGCACCCAAACAAUCAUUGCUGAUGCUUUUUAUACAGCAGUCUAUACUAGUAAAAUACCCCUUUUUAUUUUCACAACUGAUGCUGGUGUAAAAAAGCAGCGUUAAGUCAGAGAGGGGAGCGGCACGGCAGUGUUUGAUAUCUGAACGUCUUCAAUGUAAUGGCGCUCAUCUCUCGCCUGCGAGACUUCAGCUGAGUAAUUCAGAGUCCGCCGGACGCCUGCCAGCAUGCUGAUAUAUUUUUAGUUUGUUCAUUUCAUCAGGGAUACAAACAAAGCAAAAGCACUCGUGCGGCACGAGCACGAUUUCUAAAAGCUACAUCCAUUCUAAAGACAAAAUAUUGAACCUGGAAUGUAGGGGAAAUCAGAAAACACAUUAUUUCUUUGUCAUGCCAAGUUUAUUUUUUUCUUUGCUAAUGAUACAUUUUGGAUCAAGGCUGAGAGUUCUUUUUCUGGCAGAAAAUGUUUAUGUAUGUAUGGUUUUUUAAGUUGACUAAAUAACCUUUCGUGCCUGCUCUUUUCUAUGUGGAAGCAAAAUGGGAACAUUUGGCGUAUGUUGGAAGGUUACGGCCCUCAUAUUCUCAAUAUUGAAAGAUUUGUUAAAACCUUUCCGCUUCGUCUGAAGGGCAUGUGGAGUAGAGUAACCUGGCUCUCUGAAAGAACUGCCGUUUAGAACUUAGAACAUUUUAAUUGAUUCCACAUCUUUAUUAAUAGAAGGUUGAGCUUCUUUGUGUUCAGGUCAGUCACUUAUUGAGCAUGGCAGACUAGACAGACUAUCCCUUCUGCUCUCCCUUUUCUAGGAUUUUAUGAGAUCGUGACCCGCUGCUCUCACUAGAUUAGCACCAAGGCUUUUAGCAUCAUACAUGUUCUAAUUGACUCCGCAAAUCCAUCUGUACGAACGUCACGGGCUCGACGCCGCCAAGCCGAGCGGCGCCCCGGCCCACGGCUAAUGCCUUUCGCAUUGAUACGAGCCUGAGGGCGUCGUCAUUUCAUCGGGCUCAAGUGUACUGCUUCCUGCGUAAUUUCAGAUCAUUCCUUGAUGUCAUAGACAUUUUAAACAUGUGCCGAUUUUUGUGCCACAUGUCAAAAGGUUGGGAACCGCCACCUUCUUUUCUCAAAAACUGCACAUUGGUCCGUAACAUCUAAAAAAUAAAUACUUAUUUCUAAUACUUGCUACGGACGCCGCCCCCACCCGAUUAUGAAACCACUACAAAAUCUGUUGGUCACGCUGAAAUGAGGUUGUGCCACAGUGUGCGCACGGAGCCGCCGCCGUUGCCAUGAGAGCGCCGCAUGCAUAUUAUUUGCAAAGUACAAUUGAUUACUUCUCGGGCAAUGUGUUCUUGUUUGCAGCCGUAUUUAAUAUCGACUCACUCGGUCCAGGAACCGCUUCUUGGAGAGUUGGUGUUAAUUUCCAACUGGCGUGCAUAUCUCCUAAUGAAACCUGUCCACGCAGAGUAUUGAUGUUUUUAUUUCAGCACGUAGCUGUCGAACCGAGGGCCGGAGUGGUGCUCUGAUUUACAGUCACGGCGGAGUGCCUCUGCUCACUGAAACUAAACUUUUGGUACUCAUUUCAUUUUUAUCAGUGUAACACAUAUUAACAAUCAUAUUACACUCACCACUCAUGUGGGAAGAAUCUUUUUCGGCAUUUGUAACCCAUGCUAGGGACUAAAGGUCAGGAUAUCCGAUCCA